rnacentral:rRNA from 1 species
AGAGUUUGAUCAUGGCUCAGAUUGAACGCUGGCGGCAUGCUUUACACAUGCAAGUCGAACGGAGUGGGGGCAACCUCACUUCAGUGGCGGACGGGUGAGUAAUACAUCGGAACGUAUCCUGUAGUGGGGGACAACCCAGCGAAAGUUGGGCUAAUACCGCAUACGCUCUUUGGAGGAAAGUGGGGGACCGCGAGGCCUCAUGCUAGAGGGGCGGCCGAUGUCCGAUUAGCUAGUUGGUGGGGUAAAGGCCUACCAAGGCGACGAUCGGUAGCUGGUCUGAGAGGAUGAUCAGCCACACUGGGACUGAGACACGGCCCAGACUCCUACGGGAGGCAGCAGUGGGGAAUUUUGGACAAUGGGGGCAACCCUGAUCCAGCCAUGCCGCGUGCGGGAAGAAGGCCUUCGGGUUGUAAACCGCUUUUGUCCGGGAAGAAGGCUGCGUCGACAAACGCAGUUGUUGACGGUACCGGGAGAAUAAGCACCGGCUAACUCGUGCCAGCAGCCGCGGUAAUAC